GACCGACGCCAAACUACCCGACGCCCAGUCGGGCUACGAAAAAGGCUAUUCCAAUGCUCUCGCCGGUCUGGCCGGAGCCAAUCUGGUCUACGAGGCGG
rnacentral:ncRNA from 1 species